GUUAAAACAACGGUUCCCGUACAAUCACCGAAGUUGAGCAAUGACGAACCUGGUCAGUACUUCGAUGGGUGACCUCUUGGGAAUACCAGGUGCUAUA
rnacentral:rRNA from 1 species